GACUGGGUGGCCAAGUUGGCUAAGGCGUGAGACUGUUACCAAGAAAACAUUUACCGUGUUUCCUUCGACAUCUCAAGAUCGAGAGUUCGAGCCUCUCCCUGGUCG
rnacentral:tRNA from 1 species